AAGUGGUAAAGGGCGGCGAUGUGCCAAUGAGGAAAGCGCACAGCGUCGUCCCUCUGCCAAACCAGCCUCCCUCUCUCCCUCCUGUUGCCUGCUUUGCCUCCGUGCUACCCUUGCCUCCCUCCCUCGCUCCCUCUCUCUCCCCCCUCGCACCGAUCUCACCCUCCUCCCUCUCUCCCUGCACAGCACAUACAUACGCUGCAGACGUUGUUGUCCCCUUCUCCUUCCCCUUCGACCUCCCCUUCUCUCCGCCACACCGGACCCCCUCUCCCCUCCCUCCUCCCUCCCUCCCUUCUUCAUUGCCUCCCGGGAAUACUUACCCCUUUACUUCAUCGGCGUCUCGCUUUGCUGGGCAGGCUCCUCUCUCCAAACUACGGCAUUCGUCUUGGCCUUCCCUUUAGGAGUUGAGAUUUAAUGGCGGAGGCUGGAAGUCCUGGUAGUCAAGAUAGUCCGCACUCGGAUGAAUACGGGGGUAACCAUGGGGGCGGUGAUAGGGACAACUCUAGUGUUCGUGAGCAGGAUCGUUUUCUUCCAAUUGCCAACAUUAGCCGCAUCAUGAAGAAGGCGUUGCCUGCUAAUGCUAAGAUUGCCAAAGAUGCGAAGGAGACUGUUCAGGAGUGUGUUUCAGAAUUCAUCAGUUUCAUCACUAGCGAAGCUAGCGACAAAUGUCAGCGCGAAAAGAGAAAGACAAUAAAUGGAGACGAUUUACUGUGGGCUAUGAGCACAUUAGGGUUCGAAGACUACGUCGAACCGCUAAAAGUUUAUCUUCAUAAGUAUAGAGAGAUUGAGGGUGCUUUGACAAACAAGGCUGGAGAAUCAUCCUCUGGCAAGAAGGAGGGAAGUAACAUUGUGUCUCCUGGUGUGCAAGUGAGAUUCUAAUGCUGCACUCACUUAAUAUGUCUUCAGAUCUAGUGCUACUUAUCGAGGAGCCUGUAUUCUUUUUCACGAUGUUUUAGAUGGUACAGCAAGGAGGUUACAACCCCUACAUGCAAGCGCAGAUGAUGACUUCUGGCAAUUACCAGGUACAGCAUUAUUAGAUCGCCUACUUACAUUUUCGAAUCUACUUAAGAGAAAGAUGCAGGAAUAGAUGGUGGGCGCUCCUGGGGAAAAACUGUAAAUCUGUGUAAAGGCAGACAAUGGUAGCUGUAGGUGUAGGUUUGAGAUUUAGUAACCCGUGUACUGUCCUUUUGGGACAUGGAUUUAUGGGGAAAUUCAGUAUUAUGUGACAAGCGAAUGGGCUUAAUGAAGGGAAAGGAAUGCUGGUCACGAUCACGUUUCUGGUUUUGUCAGUACUACCCAGACAGAGUUUUUUAGAUGCUCUGUUAGAGAGACCUGUGUGAGCUUCAGUCAUCGCAGGGAUAUCUAGACGACCAAAUGGUCAGGAAUUUGUCAGCACUUUUUAAGCACACUGCUGAUUCAAUGCGGAAACUGUAUUAUCUCUUGAAAAGAAGAAAUGAUCCUUUUAGUGUUUUAUUUUGACAGCUAUGGAGCUGUGCGUUAUAACA